rnacentral:rRNA from 1 species
GACGAACGCUGGCGGCGUGCUUAACACAUGCAAGUCGAACGGAAAGGCCCUGCUUUUGUGGGGUGCUCGAGUGGCGAACGGGUGAGUAACACGUGAGUAACCUGCCCUUGACUUUGGGAUAACUUCAGGAAACUGGGGCUAAUACCGGAUAGGAGCUCCUGCUGCAUGGUGGGGGUUGGAAAGUUUCGGCGGUUGGGGAUGGACUCGCGGCUUAUCAGCUUGUUGGUGGGGUAGUGGCUUACCAAGGCUUUGACGGGUAGCCGGCCUGAGAGGGUGACCGGCCACAUUGGGACUGAGAUACAGCCCAGACUCCUACGGGAGGCAGCAGUGGAGAAUAUUGCACAAUGGGCGGAAGCCUGAUGCAGCAACGCCGCGUGCGGGAUGACGGCCUUCGGGCUGUAAACCGCUUUCGCCUGUGACGAAGCGUGAGUGACGGUAAUGGGUAAAGAAGCACCGGCUAACUACGUG